GUCGCCGUUCGCGGUGAGGGCGAGCGUGGCGUUCCCGGCGCCGCUCCCGUCGUUCGUGACGGUGACGGCGACG
rnacentral:tRNA from 1 species